GACGAACGCUGGCGGCGUGCUUAACACAUGCAAGUCGAACGGAAAGGCCCUGCUUGCAGGGUACUCGAGUGGCGAACGGGUGAGUAACACGUGGGUGAUCUGCCCUGCACUUCGGGAUAAGCCUGGGAAACUGGGUCUAAUACCGGAUAGGAGCCAUUUUUAGUGUGAUGGUUGGAAAGUUUUUUCGGUGUAGGAUGAGCUCGCGGCCUAUCAGCUUGUUGGUGGGGUAAUGGCCUACCAAGGCGGCGACGGGUAGCCGGACUGGGAGGGUGGCCGGCAACAUUGGGACUGGGAUACGGCCCCGACUCCGACGGGAGGCAGCAGUGGGGAAGAUUACAAAAUGGGCGCAAGCCAGAUGCAGCGACGCCGCGGGGGGGAGGACGGCCUUCGGGUUGGAAACUCCUUUCGCUAGGGACGAAGCUUUUUGUGACGGUACCUAGAGAAGAAGCACCGGCUAACUACGUG
rnacentral:rRNA from 1 species